rnacentral:rRNA from 1 species
AGCAGUCGCCACGGUAAUACGGAGGGUGCAAGCGUUAAUCGGAAUUACUGGGCGUAAAGCGCACGCAGGCGGUCUGACAAGUCAGAUGUGAAAUCCCCGGGCUUAACCUGGGAACUGCAUUUGAAACUGUCAGGCUGGAGUCUUGUAGAGGGGGGUGGAAUUCCAGGUGUAGCGGUGAAAUGCGUAGAGAUCUGGAGGAGUACCGGUGGCGAAGGCGGCCCCCUGGACAAAGACUGACGCUCAGGUGCGAAAGCGUGGGGAGCAAACAGGAUUAGAUACCCGGGUAGUCCCUGUCUCUUAUAC